rnacentral:lncRNA from 1 species
AGCCCCGCACCCCCAGCCCCAGCCCCGCGUGCAGCUCGCACCCCUUCCCACGCCUGUUCGGGGGAGAGCCCCGGGCCUGGAGUGGGAAGCCUGGCUCCAGCUCUGGUUACCUGCAGUGACUCCCCAGGCCGUUUAGGCGAGUCCAUUGGGCCGCCUCUGCCUCGGUUUCCCCACCUAACCACGGAAGGUGCUCCUCCCUUCCAGGCAUCUGUGGUCUUCGAGCUCCACGCGGGAGAGGCGCCGGUCUGGCACCUCCUGCCCAGGGUCGGCGCCUCCUGGCUCUCGGGGAGGGGGGCAUCCUCCAUCCCCUGCACCUGCCUCGAGAGGAACCAGGGACAGAGCACCCCCACCCCCACCAGGAGCUCCGGAAAAACGGCUUCAGAAGAGCAAAUAUACACACACACCCACCUCCCGCCCCAAACAUCCCCGAAGAAAGGUAACCACAGAAACAGCCAGAAAUGUGGAGCUGGGCGAUCGUAUGAGGCUGAGACAAAACUGUCUUUCUAGCGUCUCUAGGGGAGAGCUUGAAUCCCUCCUUCCACUCCUCCUCCACGGAAAACAGAGUGAACUCCUGCUACAGAGGCCGCCAGAGCAACAUGCAAGACCAGCUUUGAGGGGAGCGGGCACAGGGCCUUGCAGGGAAGGUGGGCCGAGCCCAGACCCCUCAUUCUUACUUGGCUCUGAAGGCGGAAAGGCAAAGCUAGACCUCGAGGAAGUUCCCCUCCCUGUGGGCCCUACAGUGAAGAUUACAUGAAGGCAUGUGGGCGGUGGACCAGAGUGCACCGACUGAUGAAGGCGGCCCGGUACCCGCGGGUGCCAUGCCUCCUUCUUAGCCAAGGCCACUCUAGCUCCCCGUGAAGUAUCCAGGUAGAAGGCUGGUGGGGUUACAGGAGUGUAUCUCUCUCAGAUGAGAUACAAGUUGGUCCCUUCCCUUGCGUCCCUCCUGUUCCUUCAAGAGGAGGACUGUCUACCCACCCCGAAGCUUCAUGGAGAGAGAGCACACCGUCGUUAUUCAAUAUGUAGUUUUGAAUUUAACUAGAGCAAAGAAGAAAGCAAAUUCAGGUGGAAGGAAGAAGAAAAGGGAAAAGGGCUGUCCCCAUCCUUCUAAGGAGAUGGUGCAGUGGCUCACCUUUGGGAGGCCGAGGCAGGCAGAUCACUUGAGCUCAGCAGUUUGAGACCAGCCUGGGUAACAUAGUGAAACCCCAUCUCUACAGAAAUUAAAAAAUUAGCCAGACAUGGCGGCGCACACCUGUGGUCCCA